GGUAAAUGUUGUUUUUUAAAAUAUUAUUAUUAUUUCCUAUGGAUAAAUUUGCUUACAAACUACAUCAUGCAAUACUUUGAAGUGUUUCUGGGGAACUCUGGGAAACAUCUCUGGAAAGACCACACUUCCAUCCAGAAUGGGUAGUAGGAAGACACCGAAGAUAUGUGUGCAGAGAAGUACCUGCUAAAAUAAUGUUUUUGGAAUAUAUAUCAAACAGCGAUGUAGAAGACAGAUUAAAGAGUGACAAGGAGGCAACACCUGUGGUAUGUGCUUACUUCAAAGUGCCAAAUGUUGCAAAGGGAUUAUGAAAACUAGGUAUGUGCAGAAUAGAAAAACCGAUGCCCUGAAAGGAUGCAAAACCAUGUCACAUGAGGAUAUGCAGAAGGGAAUGAGAAUCUUUAACUUGCAGGAGUAGAGUUAACGAGUGGGGUGGAAUGCAAGAGCAGUUGUCUUUAGACAUUUGAAGAGCUGCCUUAUGAAGGAAUGAUUUCUACUACUCU